UGGAGGUGCCCCGUGUCACUGGGUGCGCUGACCUCUCUGGAUCUGGAGCCAGCUUUCUCUGUCAGGCAGUUUUUGGAGAACCUCUGUGGAUUCAGGUGGAUCUGGAUGGAGAGAAACCCAAGAGCUGCUGGGCCCUGGGAGGCACCACCUGAACAUCCGAGUUGUGGGAAACAGCACUGCCUCCGCUCCACCAGUAAACAUCACUGUCCACUUUGUGGAGCUGCUGUCGGGACUGCAGGCUUCCUGGGCUUCGGACCAUGUGGAGCUUGGGUGUGACCUGUUGAUCAAUGUCUCAGUGGCUUGUGGUACCCUCGAGGAGCUGACCUUUGAGAUGGUGGGCCUCAAUGCAAACUUCUCCCAGAAGGAGGAAAGUGGUG
rnacentral:lncRNA from 1 species